GACGAACGCUGGCGGCGUGCUUAACACAUGCAAGUCGAACGAAGUGGCGAACGGGUGAGUAACGAGUAAUCAACCUGCCCUUCAGAGGGGGACAACAGUUGGAAACGACUGCUAAUACCGCAUAAUGAAGGAGGGGAUUGCGUCUGAGUAGCUAGUGGGAGGGGUAACGGCCCACCAAGGCGAUGAACAGUAGCCGGUCUGGGAGGAUGAACGGCCACAUUGGGACUGAGAGCCGGCCCAGACUCCUACGGGAGGCAGCAGUGGGGAAUCUUCCGCAAUGUGCGAAAGUCUUACGGAGCAACUCCGCGUGGGGGAUGACGGCCUUCGGGUUGUAAAGCUCUGUUAAUCGGGACGCGGUACCGGAAUAGAAAGCCACGGCUAACUACGUGCCAGCAGCCGCGGUAAUAC
rnacentral:rRNA from 1 species